GACGAACGCUGGCGGCGUGCUUAACACAUGCAAGUCGAGCGGUAAGGCCCUUUCGGGGGUACACGAGCGGCGAACGGGUGAGUAACACGUGGGUGACCUGCCCUCAGCCCUGGGAUAAGCCUGGGAAACCGGGUCUAAUACUGGAUAUGACUCCAUGACGCAUGUUGUGGGGUGGAAAGCCUUGUGCGGCUGAGGAUGGGCCCGCGGCCUAUCAGCUUGUUGGUGGGGUGAUGGCCUACCAAGGCGACGACGGGUAGCCGGCCUGAGAGGGCGACCGGCCACACUGGGACUGAGACACGGCCCAGACUCCCACGGGAGGCAGCAGUGGGGAAUCUUGCGCAAUGGGCGAAAGCCUGACGCAGCGACGCCGCGUGA
rnacentral:rRNA from 1 species